rnacentral:rRNA from 1 species
GACGAACGCUGGCGGCGUGCUUAACACAUGCAAGUCGAACGGAAAGGCCCUGCUUGCUGGGUACUCGAGUGGCGAACGGGUGAGUAACACGUGGGUGAUCUGCCCUGCACUUCGGGAUAAGCUUGGGCAACUGGGUCUAAUACCGGAUAGGAACCAUCUUUAGUGUGGUGGUUGGAAAGUUUUUUCGGUGUAGGAUGAGCUCGCGGCCUAUCAGCUUGUUGGUGGGGUAAUGGCCUACCAAGGCGGCGACGGGUAGCCGGCCUGAGAGGGUGUACGGCCACAUUGGGACUGAGAUACGGCCCAGACUCCUACGGGAGGCAGCAGUGGGGAAUAUUGCACAAUGGGCGCAAGCCUGAUGCAGCGACGCCGCGUGGGGGAUGAAGGCCUUCGGGUUGUAAACUCCUUUCGCUAGGGACGAAGCGUUGUUGUGACGGUACCUAGAUAAGAAGCACCGGCUAACUACGUG